rnacentral:rRNA from 1 species
GAUGAACGCUAGCUACAGGCUUAACACAUGCAAGUCGCGGGGCAGCAUGUCGGUUGCUUGCAACCGAUGAUGGCGACCGGCGCACGGGUGAGUAACGCGUAUCCAACCUGCCCUUCACCACGGAAUAAUCCAGUGAAAAUUGGUCUAAUUCCGUAUGAGGUCAUACGAUGGCAUCAGAAUAUGACGAAAGGUUUGGCGGUGAAGGAUGGGGAUGCGUCUGAUUAGCUUGUUGGUGAGGUAACGGCUCACCAAGGCGACGAUCAGUAGGGGUUCUGAGAGGAAGGCCCCCCACAUUGGAACUGAGACACGGUCCAAACUCCUACGGGAGGCAGCAGUGAGGAAUAUUGGUCAAUGGGCGAGAGCCUGAACCAGCCAAGUAGCGUGCAGGAAGACGGCCCUAUGGGUUGUAAACUGCUUUUAUAUGGGGAUAAAGUGAGCUACGUGUAGUUUAUUGCAGGUACCAUAUGAAUAAGGACCGGCUAAUUCCGUGCCAGCAGCCGCCGUAA